GACGAACGCUGGCGGCGUGCUUAACACAUGCAAGUCGAACGGUGAUCUUGAGAGCUUGCUCUUGGGUGAUCAGUGGCGAACGGGUGAGUAACACGUGAGUAACCUGCCCCUGAUUCUGUAAUAACUUCGGGAAACCGAAGCUAAUACCGGAUAUGACACAGAAUCGCAUGGUUUCUGUGUGGAAAGUUUUUCGGUUGGGGAUGGACUCGCGGCCUAUCAGCUUGUUGGUGAGGUAAUGGCUCACCAAGGCGACGACGGGUAGCCGGUCUGAGAGGGCGACCGGAAACACUGGGACGGAGAGACGGCCCAGACGACGACGGGAGGAAGGAGUGGGGAAGAGUGAACAAUGGGAGAAAGGCUGAUGCAGCGACGCCGCGUGAGGGAGGAAGGCCUGCAGGUGGUAAACCGAGGGCAGUAGGGAAGAAGAGCAAGUGACGGGACAUACAGAAGAAGCACUGGCUAAAUAAGUGCCAGCCGCCGCCGUAAUAC
rnacentral:rRNA from 1 species